rnacentral:rRNA from 1 species
AGGAAUAUUGGUCAAUGGGCGAGAGCCUGAACCAGCCAAGUAGCGUGAAGGAUGACUGCCCUAUGGGUUGUAAACUUCUUUUAUAAAGGAAUAAAGUCGGGUAUGGAUACCCGUUUGCAUGUACUUUAUGAAUAAGGAUCGGCUAACUCCGUGCCAGCAGCCGCGGUAAUACGGAGGAUCCGAGCGUUAUCCGGAUUUAUUGGGUUUAAAGGGAGCGUAGAUGGAUAUUUAAGUCAGUUGUGAAAGUUUGCGGCUCAACCGUAAAAUUGCAGUUGAUACUGGAUAUCUUGAGUGCAGUUGAGGCAGGCGGAAUUCGUGGUGUAGCGGUGAAAUGCUUAGAUAUCACGAAGAACUCCGAUUGCGAAGGCAGCCUGCUAAGCUGCAACUGACAUUGAGGCUCGAAAGUGUGGGUAUCAAACAGGAUUAGAUACCCUGGUAGUCCACACGGUAAACGAUGAAUACUCGCUGUUUGCGAUAUACUGCAAGCGGCCAAGCGAAAGCGUUAAGUAUUCCACCUGGGGAGUACGCCGGCAACGGUGAAACUCAAAGGAAUUGACGGGGGCCCGCACAAGCGGAGGAACAUGUGGUUUAAUUCGAUGAUACGCGAGGAACCUUACCCGGGCUUAAAUUGCAGAUGAAUUACGGUGAAAGCCGUAAGCCGCAAGGCAUCUGUGAAGGUGCUGCAUGGUUGUCGUCAGCUCGUGCCGUGAGGUGUCGGCUUAAGUGCCAUAACGAGCGCAACCCUUGUUGUCAGUUACUAACAGGUUUUGCUGAGGACUCUGACAAGACUGCCAUCGUAAGAUGUGAGGAAGGUGGGGAUGACGUCAAAUCAGCACGGCCCUUACGUCCGGGGCUACACACGUGUUACAAUGGGGGGUACAGAGGGCCGCUACCACGCGAGUGGAUGCCAAUCCCAAAAACCUCUCUCAGUUCGGACUGGAGUCUGCAACCCGGCUCCACGAAGCUGGAUUCGCUAGUAAUCGCGCAUCAGCCACGGCGCGGUGAAUACGUUCCCG